rnacentral:tRNA from 3 species
GGUAGACGCUACGGACUAAAAUCCGUUGGCUUUUUAGACCAUGAGGGUUCAAGUCCCUCUACCCCCA